AUACGUAGGGGGCGAGCGUUGUCCGGAAUGACUGGGCGUAAAGGGCGUGUAGGCGGUUGUCUAAGUCUGGAGUGAAAGUCCUGCUUUCAAGGUGGGAAUAGCUUUGGAUACUGGAUGACUUGAGUGCGGAAGAGGGAAGUGGAAUUCCCAGUGCAGCGGUGAAAUGCGUAGAGAUUGGGAGGAACACCAGUGGCGAAGGCGACUUACUGGGCCGUAACUGACGCUGAGGCGCGAAAGCGUGGGGAGCGAACAGGAUUAGAUACCCUGGUAGUCCACGCGGUAAACGAUGAAUGCUAGGUGUUGCGGGUAUCGACCCCUGCAGUGCCGGAGUAAACACAAUAAGCAUUCCGCCUGGGGAGUACGGCCGCAAGGUUGAAACUCAAAGGAAUUGACGGGG
rnacentral:rRNA from 1 species